rfam:Myotis davidii contig55935, whole genome shotgun sequence.
GAGACACCCGUAUGGAGUAGGGCUUACUUCAGUGGGACUUUGGUGUUCACUGAGUCUGCCCCUUGAGUGUGUUGCU